AACGGACGCUGGCGGCAGGCCUAACACAUGCAAGUCGAGCGGACCUUUCGGGGUCAGCGGCGGACGGGUGAGUAACGCGUGGGAAUAUGCCCUUCUCUACGGAAUCGUCCUGGGAAACUGGGGGUAAUACCGUAUACGCCCUUUGGGGGAAAGAUUUAUCGGGGAAGGAUUAGCCCGCGUUGGAUUAGGUAGUUGGUGGGGUAAUGGCCUACCAAGCCGACGAUCCAUAGCUGGUUUGAGAGGAUGAUCAGCCACACUGGGACUGAGACACGGCCCAGACUCCUACGGGAGGCAGCAGUGGGGAAUCUUAGACAAUGGGGGCAACCCUGAUCUAGCCAUGCCGCGUGAGUGAUGAAGGCCUUAGGGUUGUAAAGCUCUUUCAGCUGGGAAGAUAAUGACGGUACCAGCAGAAGAAGCCCCGGCUAACUCCGU
rnacentral:rRNA from 1 species